rnacentral:rRNA from 1 species
UACGUAGGGCGCAAGCGUUGUCCGGAAUUAUUGGGCGUAAAGAGCUCGUAGGCGGUUUGUCGCGUCUGCUGUGAAAACCUAAGGCUCAACCUUGGGCUUGCAGUGGGUACGGGCAGACUAGAGUGCGGUAGGGGUGACUGGAAUUCCUGGUGUAGCGGUGGAAUGCGCAGAUAUCAGGAGGAACACCGAUGGCGAAGGCAGGUCACUGGGCCGCAACUGACGCUGAGGCGCGAAAGCGUGGGGAGCAAACGGG